AUGCAGGUGCGAUUCAUUCCGGUGAAGCGCAUGAAAUCCUACAUGGGGUUCGAUCCGCUUAGAGCAGGCGACACGGCGCCCUCCGAGCCUUCCGCUCAGACGCGGCAGCUCCUCACCACCAUGGGGGAGCAGACAGCCAAUCUCACCGCGCUCAUCGAGACGCUGCUCUCCCGCUUCGACGAAGAGAAGGUGCUUGCCCACAAGUGCGCAGAGGUGCAGACGGCCUUCAACAACCAGGUGUCCCAGGAGCUACAGAGCCUGACCAAGCAGUUUGGACUCACCCAGGCGGAUGUGGAUAACGUACGCAAGGUCACGUCCCCAUCGGCGUCGUCGGCUCCGUCAUCCAGGUCACAAGUGGAUGAUUGA
rnacentral:rRNA from 1 species